GACGAACGCUGGCGGCGUGCUUAACACAUGCAAGUCGAACGGUAAGGCCCUUCGGGGUACACGAGUGGCGAACGGGUGAGUAACACGUGGGUGAUCUGCCCUGCACUUCGGGAUAAGCCUGGGAAACUGGGUCUAAUACCGGAUAGGACCACUGCCUGCAUGGGUGGUGGUGGAAAGCUUUUGCGGUGUGGGAUGGGCCCGCGGCCUAUCAGCUUGUUGGUGGGGUGAUGGCCUACAAAGGCGACGACGGGUAGCCGGCCGGUGAGGGUGACCGGCAACACUGGGACUGAGAUACGGCCCAGACUGCUACGGGGGGCAGCAGUGGGGAAUAUUGCACAAUGGGCGCAAGCCUGAUGCAGCGACGCCGCGUGAGGGAUGACGGCCUUCGGGUUGUAAACCUCUUUCAGCACCGACGAAGCGCAAGUGACGGUAGGUGCAGAAGAAGGACCGGCCAACUACGUGCCAGCCGCCGCCGUAA
rnacentral:rRNA from 1 species